CUCACAGCGCUAGCGAGGCAUCCCAUUCUACUUAUCUUUACAACCUAACAAGAGCAGGAAUAGUCAAAAGAAAUAUUCUUCUCUGCUACGAACCGAUUGGAAUAAAUACCUGAGUUCCUGAUAAAAUGGAAAAUAACACCUUUCCAUAGGUGUGGAAUCACCAAUGACAUCAGAACAAAAACUAUUGCUAGGUACCAAGGAGAAAAUGUCUUGAAGACAAGAUGUGAAUAGCAAGUUCAGAAGAAGGGAAGUCAAAAAAGAAAAAAAAAGAAAAAAAAAGAAAAAAAAAAAAGCAGCCCCCUGGGCGACCUAGUGAGACUCAAAAAAAAAGGAGAUGAAGGAAGAUUAUCAUGAUGCUACCUCUAAUUUUCUAUAGCAGGCUCCAUAGAGCUCAAAAUACUUUAAAGACGUAUUUUUAUUCUGAAGUAGCAGGAAGGAAAUAUCAGCAGCGUUCACAGAUGGUGAAACUGAAGCGUCACAUCGUUGGGGGAUGCCUAGUUCUCCCUGCAGCAUCUGGUAGCUGCGCAGGACAGUGCCUGGAGGUGGUUUGAGUCUGUGUAUAUAUGAAAGUACUAAAACCGACGGGAGUGGCGGCCCAUCUCGAGCAGCCGCUGUGAAGACACCAGCUGCAGUAGCAGAGGCACAGCCCUGGCUGUGCGCUCCACAGAGCCGGCGCCAAGAACAGGCCCGCUCAUGGCCACCGAUGGACCAAUCAGCACACACUUUCUCCCUUCUGAAGCCCAUAAAAAACCUCAACUCAACCAGACUCUCAGAGACUUUGGGAUGACCUGCUGCAGAUAGGAGCUAACUCCUCUGGGUCUCCUCUCCACUGAGGGCUGCAGACAUUGGGACGACCUGCCUGCAGAUAGGAGCUACCUGCUCUGGGACUCCUCUCUGCUGAGGGCUACAGACCAACGUUGGGACUACCAGCUGCAGGAAGGAGCUACCUGCUUCGGUCUCCUUGACUCGUCAGAAUGACCUGCCUGUGAAUAGGAGCUAGCCACUUUGGGUCUCCUGAGAGCUGUUCUGUCACUCAAUGAAGCUCCUCUCCACCUCACUCACCCUCUAGUUGUCUGUGUACCUCAUUCUUCCUAGAUGCAUGACAAGAACUCGGGACCUGCCGAAUGGUGGUACCGAAAGAACUGUAACACAAACAGGGCUGAAACAACCCCCUGGCUCACCACAUUGCAGGCAACAAGAAGAGAAGAGCUCUGGCCCUUCGGGGACCUCA